UCUUCCUCCCAAAUCAGCCCACUCCCUCUCUCCUUCACUUCACCAUUAAAAUAACUUCCAUGGAAGCUUGAUCAAAGCUUUUCAAAACCUCACUUUGUCCCCAAAAUUCUUAUUAGACCUUGUUAACUUUACUUGAGAAGAAGCUUGAGCAAGAAAAGAAAAGAGAAAAAGGAAAGAAUUGAGGAAGUGGAACUCCAAAGUUGAGUUGAAAAGAAUACCGGGAAAUAACCUGAAGCAUCGAGUCAAGGCCAAGAGGCGACUCGCUUAAGAUAUAGAGACUAGAGAAGCAGCAGAGUGAGCUGCUGAGGAUCUUGGAGCUAGCUCCCUGAAGUUCUGUCGGAUAUAUUUUAUACCCUAAUUGUAAUAUUUAUUUUGAUGUAUGUAAAUGCAUGUAUAUGUAUAAACUAGUUAUGAGCAGUUUUAUAGAGUUUGUAAUAAUAUUAUUUU